GGUGGGGAGGGUUAGGAAGAGGGGGGGGUAGUCUUUAUUCUUUUUAAAAAAUGUUUCUUUUUA
rnacentral:tRNA from 1 species